GAUGAACGCUAGCUACAGGCUUAACACAUGCAAGUCGAGGGGUAACGAGAGGAAAGCUUGCUUUCCUUGUCGACGACCGGCGCACGGGUGAGUAACGCGUAUCCAACCUGCCCCCAACUAGGGAAUAACCUUGCGAAAGUAAGACUAAUACCCUAUAAUUUCCUCAGAUGUCAUCUGACGAGGAAUAAAGAUUUAUCGGUUGUGGAUGGGGAUGCGUCUAAUUAGCUUGUUGGCGGGGUAACGGCCCACCAAGGCAACGAUCAGUAGGGGUUCUGAGAGUAAGGUCCCCCACAUUGGAACUGAGACACGGUCCAAACUCCUACGGGAGGCAGCAGUGAGGAAUAUUGGUCAAUGGGCGGAAGCCUGAACCAGCCAAGUAGCGUGCAGGAUGACGGCCCUAUGGGUUGUAAACUGCUUUUAUACAGGAAUAAAGUUAGCCACGUGUGGUUAUUUGUAGGUACUGUAUGAAUAAGGACCGGCUAAUUCCGUGCCAGCCGCCGCAGUAA
rnacentral:rRNA from 1 species